AUGAUGAGCAUGAGCGUUCAUAUAUCAUGGGCUAUAUAUGCAUAAUGAAUAUAUUGAUGCUGAUGCUGAUGCUGAUAAUGAUGAUGAUGAUGAUGAUGAUGAUGAUG